GCGAAGCCUUCACUCAACGAGCCCAAAAUGAAGAAAGCUCUGCAGGUGGAACUUGAGUGACCUUACCAGGAGAAGGGAAAGACAGGAUAUUCAAAGCUUCCAAAAAGUUUGAAGGCAAAGUGAGUUUGGCCCUGCUAGAGUCUGCCUUGAAAGAAGAAGUAGUCAAUAUACCACACGAUGCUGUGCAAGCUCUGGAUGUUAGAAUGAGACAUUUUUCUUCUCUUGGCAAGCAUAGAGUGCCAUUCAUUAGAGCAAGGACCUGGAAUCAAACGUACAUCUGGCAGAAGUUUUCCAACUGGGAGCAUGCAAUUUGGAGCUAGAUUAUGAAGAAUCUGUUCUCUGGUGGAAAAUGAACUCGACAAAUUUAGGUCAAAAGUCAGGACAAUGCAUAGAAAUGUGCCACCUCAACCAGUGUCAUGCCACUCAGUGUACAACAUGGAUUCACCCCUAUCUGAUGCUCACCAUCUUCUAAGCAGAAUUGAUAGAGAUAGUCUACCAGAGACAAGGACGUGUUACCAAUCUUGGAAUCAUCCUCUACAAGGGGACUCUGAUGUGAAAAGUUCUUGGUAUUUAUGUGAUGCCAAGUAUUGACUAAACUCGCAUUGUCUCUCUUUCUGAUGUUGUUGUGUGUUUUUAUGUUGUUGUGGUUUUUUUAAGUGAGAAAAUGUGUAUUUUUAAUGUAUUUGAUGAUGACUUUAUGUAUAUCCAAGCAGCAGGUCCAAGCUAUUUGACAAUUUAAUGAAUAUGAAUUAUUUGUUCAUUGAUGGAUGCUUUUACUAAGUAGGGCAUUAUUACUCGGUUAUUUACAAUUAUUUUUGAGGCUUCGAAUUAGGAUGGUGUGGUAAUUAGGCCUGAAUAUUAUUCUAAUUAACUUUGUUGCAAAUUUCUCUUAAUUUGAAGUUAGUAUUUGCAUUUAUUUUGUGUUGACAAUUCUGCAAAAGUGGCUCCAAAGGUUUUCCAGAGUUUUUCCUGAUUGUGUUUUAUCUCCUUUUUUUUUUUUACCGUGGAUCUACUUGUAGAAUUGUUCAGCACCCCCACCCCAGAAAUUUUUACACAAUGCCCUUAUUCUUCCAUAAAUAUUACAUGUAUAUUGAUAUUUUCCAUUAAUAAUUACAUGAAGAAAGUUCAUAAAAGUUUAUUAGUUGCUAAAUUAGAGAUAAAGGGUGUUUCAAAUGCACAGAAUACUAUGCAUUUUCUUUUAUUAAAUUUCAACCUAUUUGAUUAGGCCUAUCAGCAACAAUUAAAGUUUGUAUUAAAUCAUUUAAUAAUUUUGUCUUCAUUUUAUGUAUCAAAAUUAUUUUAGUACUAUCAUUGGCAUACAUAAUGAAAUGUGUUUUUUCAUAGGAAUUAGUAAUGUUGUCAACUUAAAACAACAUAAUAGGUCCAGGUAUACUUGCAGCAAAUUGCAUGUUUAUGGGCAGAAUAUGAGAAGAAUUAAACUAAACCCCUUUACAAAAAGUUGAUGCAUGAAUUGUGAAAAUUGUAAUCGAUUCAUGUGCAAAGCCUUUGGUCAAAGUGGAUGUCAACAACUUCUCCAUGCAUUAAUUUCAUCUCAUUUAGAUUAUUUUAUUUAAUUAUUUUUGGACUUCCUAGACAGAUAUUAGCAAAGCAGCAUACAAUCUCUUCAAGCUCCAGUAGAUUCCUUACUUUGACAUCUAGAAUGACCUCUAUCACAUGUUCUCUUCAAAGAGCCCAUUUUAAACUAGUAUACUCGUCCAUCGUGCUCCAAAUCACCCCUACAAAAAUUUGAUGAAAAUUCCCUCUAUCAGUAUUAAUGGGGUGAAAUACAUGUUUAGGUCCUUCCCAUCAGUCUUCCCCAGUCUCUUCACAAAACUUGCCCCCAUUUAAUGUGAGAACAAAUCUUUUAUUGUAGCAUAAAUUAGCAUGAUUAAUUAGCUAUUGAUUAAAUAUCAAUUUUAGAAAUUGGAUUAUGUAGUCUUAUAGAGGACAUCUUAGGUGAUAUGUGUGCCAAAUUUAUUGAUUGUCACCUGCUCAUUAGCAAUACCUUUCAAACCAUACUAGGUUUAUUAGAAAUUAACUAUUUUUUUAUUUUGUUCACAUCUAAUUGUUGUUUUGUCAUCACUCACUGGUCUGAUUGGCGUCAUGUUGGGGAGCUGCUGUCCUCAUUUGCUAGAGCUCUUGUGAGUAGUGAGCUGACCGGGCGUGUCCCUUAAAUUGUCGGUGAACAGAGCAGCAAGCACAAGAGCACCAGGCCUCAUCGGGAUGUAGCUAAGAACUCCAGUGAGUGCUGCAAAAUGUGUGUAAUUUAACUUGUAGAUUUAUUUGUAGGAUUUAUUAAUGUUUCUAUCUUCACAUACAAGAAAAACUUUAGAUGUGGAAAAAAAAAUCUUUGGGUUUAUUUGUGAUCAAAGAGCUAAAUGGGACCAGUUAUCCAGCUCAAAUGAGAAAAAAUAUACAAGAUUCACAAAUUCACUUUUUGUAAUCUCAAGCAACUAGAGCACUAUCAAAGGUUGUUUUAGGUUUUUGGGUCAGUGAACAGAAAGGCUAACCAAAUUUGGAAUGUACAAGUCUAUAUUCCAUAAAGCUUUACUAUAAUGGUCAGUAACUAUUAGUAAAUUGAUCAAUGCAAUUUCUGACCAGUCACUAUUAAAGGUAUUGCCAGUUGUAACAAUAUCAAAAUGAGUUGGUACAGAAUCCAAUGAAAUGACCACCAAAGUGUCUGUUUGUAUAAAUGAAAA